rnacentral:rRNA from 1 species
UACGUAGGGAGCAAGCGUUGUCCGGAAUCAUUGGGCGUAAAGCGCGCGUAGGUGGCUUCGUAAGUCCGUUGUGAAAGUCAAAGGCUCAACCUUUGAAAGCCGAUGGAUACUGUGAAGCUAGAGUACGGAAGAGGCGAGUGGAAUUCCUGGUGUAGCGGUGGAAUGCGCAGAUAUCAGGAGGAACACCAAUAGCGAAGGCAGCUCCGCUGGGACGUUACUGACGCUGAGACGCGAAAGCGUGGGGAGCGAACAGGAUAGAUACC